GCAAGGUGCUGCUCCUGGCUACCAAGGUGGACCUCCGGGGUAUCAAGGUGGUUACCAAGGGAACCCAGGCCCUGCCUACCAAGGUGGUAACACUGGUUAUCAAGGUGGCAACCCACCACCUCCCUACCAAGGAAGCAACCCACCACCUCCUUACCAGGGAGGCAGCCCACCAGGGCCACCACCUCCCUACCGAGGAGGCAGCCCACCAGGGCCACCACCUCCCUACCGAGGAGGCAACCCCAACGUACCGCCAUAUUCGGGUGGUGGCAAUCCUGGCUACCCUGGUGGCAGCCCUGGCUACCAGGGUCAAGGAGGCAACUCCAACUUCCAGUGAACAUGACCACGAGUACUAAGUUGGCACCCCUGUUUCAGAGUAGC
rnacentral:lncRNA from 1 species